GACGAACGCUGGCGGCGUGCUUAACACAUGCAAGUCGAACGGAAAGGCCCUGCUUGCGGGGUCCUCGAGUGGCGAACGGGUGAGUAACACGUGGGUGAUCUGCCCUGCACUUCGGGAUAAGCCUGGGCAACUGGGUCUAAUACCGGAUAGGAGCCAUUUUUAGUGUGAUGGUUGGAAAGUUUUUUCGGUGUAGGAUGAGCUCGCGGCCUAUCAGCUUGUUGGUGGGGUAAUGGCCUACCAAGGCGGCGACGGGUAGCCGGCCUGAGAGGGUGGACGGCCACAUUGGGACUGCGAGACGGCCCAGACUCCUACGGGAGGCAGCAGUGGGGAAUAUUGCACAAUGGGCGCAAGCCUGAUGCAGCGACGCCGCGUGGGUGAUGACGGCCUUCGGGUUGUAAACUCCUUUCGCUAGGGACGAAGCUUUUUGGGACGGUACCUAGAUAAGAAGCACCGGCUACCUCCGG
rnacentral:rRNA from 1 species